rnacentral:rRNA from 1 species
CGGAGGGAGCGCGUAUGAUGCUGGUCUCAGCGGAAGAGGGAGCUUGCUCCCGGAUGUUAGCGGCGGACGGGUGAGUAACACGUGGGUAACCUGCCUGUAAGACUGGGAUAACUCCGGGAAACCGGAGCUAAUACCGGAUAGUUCCUUGAACCGCAUGGUUCAAGGAUGAAAGACGGUUUCGGCUGUCACUUACAGAUGGACCCGCGGCGCAUUAGCUAGUUGGUGAGGUAACGGCUCACCAAGGCGACGAUGCGUAGCCGACCUGAGAGGGUGAUCGGCCACACUGGGACUGAGACACGGCCCAGACUCCUACGGGAGGCAGCAGUAGGGAAUCUUCCGCAAUGGACGAAAGUCUGACGGAGCAACGCCGCGUGAGUGAUGAAGGUUUUCGGAUCGUAAAGCUCUGUUGUUAGGGAAGAACAAGUGCAAGAGUAACUGCUUGCACCAUGACGGUACCUAACCAGAAAGCCACGGCUAACUACGUGCCAGCAGCCGCGGUAAUACGUAGGUGGCAAGCGUUGUCCGGAAUUAUUGGGCGUAAAGGGCUCGCAGGCGGUUUCUUAAGUCUGAUGUGAAAGCCCCCGGCUCAACCGGGGAGGGUCAUUGGAGACUGGGAAACUUGAGUGCAAAAAGGAGAGUGAAUUCCCCGUGUACCGUGAAAUGCGUAUAGAUGUGAGAGACACCGGUGACGAAGCCACUUGUCUGGUCUGUGACUGACCCUGAGAGCAAGGCGCGGGCGACGGAACUGAC